rnacentral:rRNA from 1 species
UGGGGAAUUUUGGACAAUGGGCGAAAGCCUGAUCCAGCAAUGACGCGUGUGUGAAGAAGGCCUUCGGGUUGUAAAGCACUUUUGUCCGGAAAGAAAUGGCUCUGGUUAAUACCUGGGGUCGAUGACGGUACCGGAAGAAUAAGGACCGGCUAACUACGUGCCAGCAGCCGCGGUAAUACGUAGGGUCCAAGCGUUAAUCGGAAUUACUGGGCGUAAAGCGUGCGCAGGCGGUUGUGCAAGACCGAUGUGAAAUCCCCGAGCUUAACUUGGGAAUUGCAUUGGUGACUGCACGGCUAGAGUGUGUCAGAGGGGGGUAGAAUUCCACGUGUAGCAGUGAAAUGCGUAGAGAUGUGGAGGAAUACCGAUGGCGAAGGCAGCCCCCUGGGAUAACACUGACGCUCAUGCACGAAAGCGUGGGGAGCAAACAGG